CCUACGGGUGGCAGCAGUAGGGAAUCUUCCACAAUGGGCGAAAGUCUGAUGGAGCAACGCCGCGUGGGUGAUGAAGGUCUUCGGAUCGUAAAACCCUGUUGUUAGAGAAGAAAGCGCGUGAGAGUAACUGGUCACGCUUCGACGGUAUCUAACCAGAAAGCCACGGCUAACUACGUGCCAGCAGCCGCGGUAAUACGUAGGUGGCAAGCGUUAUUCGGAUUUAUUGGGCGUAAAGGGAACGCAGGCGGUCUUGUAAGUCUGAUGUGAAAGCCUUCGGCUUAACCGGGGUAGUGCAUUGGAAACUGGGAGACGUGAGUGCAGAAGAGGAGGGUGGAACUCCAUGUGUAGCGGUGAAAUGCGUAGAUAUCUGGAAGAACACCAGUGGCGAAGGCGGCUCUCUGGUCUGUAACUGACGCUGAGGUUCGAAAGCGUGGGUAGCAAACAGGAUUAGAUACCCUGGUAGUC
rnacentral:rRNA from 1 species